rnacentral:rRNA from 1 species
GCCCUACGGGGGGCUGCAGUCGAGAAUCUUUCGCAAUGGGCGAAAGCCUGACGAAGCGACGCUGCGUGAGUGAUGAAGGCCUUCGGGUCGUAAAGCUCUUUCGCCUGGGAACAAGGAAAUCCGGCUAAUAUCCGGAGGACUUGAGAGUAUCAGGUAAAGAAGCACCGGCUAACUCCGUGCCAGCAGCUGCGGUAAUACGGAGGGUGCAAGCGUUAAUCGGAAUUAUUGGGCGUAAAGGGUGCGCAGGCGGAAACACAAGUCGGGUGUGAAAUCCCGGGGCUCAACCUCGGAACGGCACUCGAAACUGUGUUUCUAGAGGAUAGAAGGAGAAAAUGGAAUUCCACAAGUAGCGGUGAAAUGCGUAGAUAUGUGGAAGAACACCGGUGGCGAAGGCGGUUUUCUAUUUUAUUCCUGACGCUCAUGCACGAAAGUUAGGGGAUCAAACAGGAUUAGAUACCCCAGUAGUCUUA